rnacentral:piRNA from 1 species
ACCAGGGAAACUGAAAAAUAAAAAGUAC